rnacentral:rRNA from 1 species
GACGAACGCUGGCGGCGUGCUUAACACAUGCAAGUCGAACGGAAAGGCCCUGCUUGCCGGGUACUCGAGUGGCGAACGGGUGAGUAACACGUGGGUGAUCUGCCCUGCACUUCGGGAUAAGCCUGGGAAACUGGGUCUAAUACCGGAUAGGAGCCAUUUUUAGUGUGAUGGUUGGAAAGUUUUUUCGGUGUAGGAUGAGCUCGCAGCCUAUCAGCUUGUUGGUGGGGUAAUGGCCUACCAAGGCGGCGACGGGUAGCCGGCCUGAGAGGGUGGACGGCCACAUUGGGACUGAGAUACGGCCCAGACUCCUACGGGAGGCAGCAGUGGGGAAUAUUGCACAAUGGGCGCAAGCCUGAUGCAGCGACGCCGCGUGGGGGAUGACGGCCUUCGGGUUGUAAACUCCUUUCGCUAGGGACGAAGCUUUUUGUGACGGUACCUAGAUAAGAAGCACCGGCUAACUACGUG